rnacentral:rRNA from 1 species
UAAAAUAAUCUUAGUGAUGAUACCCGAAAAUAUAAGAUCUAAGUGUAAUAUUAAGGUUUUAGACUAAAGUUAAGGUGCUGUAGCAUCAGCUCACAAUAAAUAAUACCUUAGUGGUGAAAGGCCUUCAAUUAUAUUGAUAGCUGGAUAAUUAUUAAAUAUAUUUAGUAUAUAUUACAUUUAUGAAGUGAUAAGAUUUCAUAAUAAGAAUUUAACGUAUACCUAUAACUACUAUUAACUAAUUCUUAACAGUAUUUACUUUAACUAAAAUAAUUUUACAUGCAAUAUUCUUUAAUAAUAAUUUAUUUACCUAAAUUAGUGAGUAAAUUUGAUAAUGUAUAAAUUAGUAUAUACUAUAAAUUUAAGUAAAUGAACUCGGCAAAUACUAUAUACGACUGUUUAACAAAAACAUAGCCGGUAGAUAUUAUAUUAUCGGUGUGACCUGCCCGGUGAGUUUUUAACGGCCGCAGUACUAUGACUGUGCAAAGGUAGCAUAAUCAUUUGACUUUUAAUUGGAGUCUAGUAUGAAAGGAAAAACGUAUAUAAGCUGUAUCUAUUGUAAGUUUAUUUAAAUUAUUUAUGGGGUGAAAAUGCCCUAAGUUUUAAAAAUAGACGAGAAGACCCUUAGAAUUUUAAGAAAGACAUAAACCAGUAUGAAGUGAUUUUUGUUGGGGCAACAUUUUUUCAUUUAAUAAAAAAUCAAUAUUAUAAUACAACGAAAAAGUUUAAAUAAAAAAAAAUUACCUUAGGGAUAACAGCAUAAUUUUAAAUAAAGAUUGUGACCUCGAUGUUGGACUAGGAACUAUUAAGGCUAGUCGUUUUAAUAUAAUAAGUUCUGUUCGAACUUUGCUUCCUA